rnacentral:rRNA from 1 species
UAGGGAAUCUUCNNGCAAUGGGGGCAACCCUGACCGAGCAACGCCGCGUGAGUGAAGAAGGUUUUCGGAUCGUAAAGCUCUGUUGUAAGUCAAGAACGAGUGUGAGAGUGGAAAGUUCACACUGUGACGGUAGCUUACCAGAAAGGGACGGCUAACUACGUGCCAGCAGCCGCGGUAAUACGUAGGUCCCGAGCGUUGUCCGGAUUUAUUGGGCGUAAAGCGAGCGCAGGCGGUUUGAUAAGUCUGAAGUUAAAGGCUGUGGCUCAACCAUAGUUCGCUUUGGAAACUGUCAAACUUGAGUGCAGAAGGGGAGAGUGGAAUUCCAUGUGUAGCGGUGAAAUGCGUAGAUAUAUGGAGGAACACCGGUGGCGAAAGCGGCUCUCUGGUCUGUAACUGACGCUGAGGCUCGAAAGCGUGGGGAGCGAACAGGAUUAGAUACCCUGGUAGUCCACGCCGUAAACGAUGAGUGCUAGGUGUUGGAUCCUUUCCGGGAUUCAGUGCCGCAGCUAACGCAUUAAGCACUCCGCCUGGGGAGUACGACCGCAAGGUUG